UACGAAGGGGGCUAGCGUUGUUCGGAAUUACUGGGCGUAGAGCGCACGUAGGCGGAUUGUUAAGUCGGGGGUGAAAUCCUGAGGCUCAACCUCAGAACUGCCUUCGAUACUGGCGAUCUUGAGUUCGGAAGAGGUUGGUGGAACAGCUAGUGUAGAGGUGAAAUUCGUAGAUAUUAGCUAGAACACCAGUGGCGAAGGCGGCCAACUGGUCCGAUACUGACGCUGAGGUGCGAAAGCGUGGGGAGCAAACAGG
rnacentral:rRNA from 1 species